rnacentral:misc_RNA from 1 species
CUCCCGACUAUGUUUUUGGCCACAAUCUGUCUUCUUUCUCUGCAGAUUCGAAACCUUUAUCAAUUGCUCUGCUACGAAACAACCUCAUCUUAAAUGGCACUGUGAAAAUUGAAAUAAACCCCACAAGUUGAGUUCUUUCUGUAAAAAGUUGGCUCUGGUUUCUGGGUAGGGUUGUUUUGUAUUUAAAUAUUCAGGGGUUUUGGGGUUGGUAUAAAAUGAUAUUUAUAUUUGGUAAGAUUUUUCUCUCUGCCUAAACUAUCCCCUUUAGCCACCUUAUCUCUCUUGCUAUCUCGGGGUCCCUCUUUCGUGCUCUACUCUUGAAAAACCAAGUUGUGGGUUUUCU